rnacentral:rRNA from 1 species
AUCUACGGCUAUACCAUCCUGAAUGUGCAUGAUCUCAUCUGAUCCCAGAAGCUAAGCUGGGUCAGCUUUGGUUAGUACNUGGAUGGAAGAGACAGUGUGGGCUGAAGAAU